rnacentral:lncRNA from 1 species
UGCAACACUUCGUUUGAAGACUAUGUGCAGUGUGACAGUGAGCUCGUUACCUGUGCUGAACUAUCAGAUCUGGAAAUUGUUUCCAAUGUUCAUCUCGAAGA